rnacentral:rRNA from 1 species
CGAACGGGUGAGUAACGCGUGAGGAACCUGCCUCAAAGAGGGGGACAACAGUUGGAAACGACUGCUAAUACCGCAUAAGCCCACGGCUCGGCAUCGAGCAGAGGGAAAAGGAACAAUCCGCUUUGAGAUGGCCUCGCGUCCGAUUAGCUAGUUGGUGAGGUAACGGCCCACCAAGGCGACGAUCGGUAGCCGGACUGGGAGGUUGAACGGCCACAUUGGGACUGAGACACGGCCCAG